CCUACGGGAGGCAGCAGUGGGGAAUUUUGGACAAUGGGCGAAAGCCUGAUCCAGCAAUGCCGCGUGCAGGAAGAAGGCCUUCGGGUUGUAAACUGCUUUUGUACGGAACGAAACGGUCUGCUUUAAUACAGUGGGCUAAUGACGGUACCGUAAGAAUAAGCACCGGCUAACUACGUGCCAGCAGCCGCGGUAAUACGUAGGGUGCGAGCGUUAAUCGGAAUUACUGGGCGUAAAGCGUGCGCAGGCGGUUAUAUAAGACAGUUGUGAAAUCCCCGGGCUCAACCUGGGAAUUGCAUCUGUGACUGUAUAGCUAGAGUACGGUAGAGGGGGAUGGAAUUCCGCGUGUAGCAGUGAAAUGCGUAGAUAUGCGGAGGAACACCGAUGGCGAAGGCAAUCCCCUGGACCUGUACUGACGCUCAUGCACGAAAGCGUGGGGAGCAAACAGGAUUAGAUACCCUGGUAGUCCACGCCCUAAACGAUGUCAACUGGUUGUUGGGUGCAUUAGUACUCAGUAACGAAGCUAACGCGUGAAGUUGACCGCCUGGGGAGUACGGCCGCAAGGUUGAAACCUUUAAAGGAUUAGAGGCGUGNGAGNGCGACGACGACGACGACGGAGGAGG
rnacentral:rRNA from 1 species